UACGGAGGGUGCAAGCGUUGUCCGGAUUUAUUGGGUUUAAAGGGUGCGUAGGUGGCCUAUUAAGUCAGUGUUUAAAGUCAACAGCUUAACUGUUGGAAUGGCAUUGAUACUGAUGGGCUUGAGUAAAGUUGAGGUAGGCGGAAUUGAAGGUGUAGCGGUGAAAUGCAUAGAUAUCUUCAAGAACACCAAUUGCGAAGGCAGCUUACUAAGCUUUAACUGAACACUGAGGCACGAAAGCGUGGG
rnacentral:rRNA from 1 species